rnacentral:lncRNA from 1 species
CUAUAGGUUCCCUCUGCCCUUUCUUUGAAGAUAUUCAAAGUCUGGAGCUCAGAAAAAUGCCCUUUAUGACCACCUGUGCCUCUGCAGUGUGAAUCCAAGGACUGGUACAAUCAGGAGGCCUGAGAGCAGGAGGGUUUACAGAGGCACCUGCGUGGCAAGCUGAUUCUCACCCAUUGGCCCCAGGCAGGCCAGAGCCAGAACAGGAUCUGCAAGCAACUGUUCUGGACUUCUGCCUUCCCCCUUCCACUGGAUGCUGGUUGCAGCACAAGCAGGGUGAGGGCGUGGCUACCCAGUCCUCACCAGCUGGCCCCAGGCAGGCCAGAUCAAGAAUAGGAUCUCCAAGCAGCUAUCCUGGACCUCUGCCUUCCACCUUACUCUGGAUGCUAGCACAGGAUGAGAAGAACCUGGAAUCCCAUCUGCAGGAGGAGAAGUGA